rnacentral:rRNA from 1 species
CACGAACCGUACGAACGUUAUUCGGAAUUACUGGGCUUAAAGGGUUUGUAGGCGGCCAUGUAAGUCAGGUGUGAAAUCCCUCGGCUCAACCGAGGAACGGCGCUUGAUACUGCAUGGCUUGAGGGAGACAGGGGUAAGCGGAACUGAUGGUGGAGCGGUGAAAUGCGUUGAUAUCAUCAGGAACACCGGUGGCGAAAGCGGCUUACUGGGUCUCUUCUGACGCUGAGGCACGAAAGCUAGGGGAGCAAACAGG